rnacentral:rRNA from 1 species
GAGAGUGGGUAGUCCGCACGAGCGCACCUCACUUUUAGUUGCCAUCAUUAAGUUGGGCACUCUGAAAGAACUGCCAGUGAUAAGCUGGAGGAAGGUGGGGAUGACGUCAAGUCCUCAUGGCCCUUACGUGUUGGGCUACACACGUGCUACAAUGGCAUCUACAUCAGGAAGCAAAACGGCAACGUUAAGCAAAUCCCGAAAAGAUGCCUCAGUUCGGAUUGCACUCUGCAACUCGAGUGCAUGAAGCUGGAAUUACUAGUAAUCGUGGAUCAGCGUGCCACGGUGAAUGCGUUCCCGGGUCUUGUACACACCGCCCGUCACACCAUGGGAGUUGGUUCUACCUUAAGGCAAGGUUUUAAACCCUUGACCACGGUAUAGUCAGCGACUGGGGUGAAGUCGUAACAAGGUAGCCGUAGGGGAACCUGCGGCUGGAUUACCUCCUUUCU